UACGUAGGGUGCGAGCGUUGUCCGGAAUUAUUGGGCGUAAAGAGCUCGUGGGCGGUCUGUCGCGUCGAUCGUGAAAACUUGGGGCUUAACCCUGAGCUUGCGGUCGAUACGGGCAUGACUGGAGUUCGGCAGGGGAGACUGGAAUUCCUGGUGUAGCGGUGAAAUGCGCAGAUAUCAGGAGGAACACCGGUGGCGAAGGCAGUUCUCUGGGCCGUAACUGACGCUGAGGAGCGAAAGCGUGGGGAGCGAACAGG
rnacentral:rRNA from 1 species